CAGGAAUUCAAAAGUAGUCCUCAGUCCUUCCCUUGAAACCAAUUUGCCCAAAAGUGAGGCAGAGGAACAACCCAAUGUGCCACGUAAUCAUCCAUAACCUGCUCACGAUGGUUGUCUCAUAUUAUGUCAACAGUUUAAAACAGACUCAUU